CACGGAGUUAGCCGGAGCUUAUUCUCCCGGUACUGUCAUUAUCAUCCCAGGUAAAAGAGCUUUACAACCCUAAGGCCUUCAUCACUCACGCGGCAUUGCUGGAUCAGGCUUUCGCCCAUUGUCCAAUAUUCCCCACUGCUGCCUCCCGUAGGAGUCUGGGCCGUGUCUCAGUCCCAGUGUGGCUGAUCAUCCUCUCAGACCAGCUAAGGAUCGUCGCCUUGGUGCGCCUUUACCACACCAACUAGCUAAUCCUACGCGGGCUCAUCCCUCGGCGAUAAAUCUUUGGACUUACGUCGUCAUCCGGUAUUAGCAGUCAUUUCUAACUGUUAUUCCGAACCAAGGGGCAGAUUCCCACGCGUUACGCACCCGUGCGCCACUAGAUCCGAAGAUCUCGUUCGACUUGCAUGUGUUAGGCAUGCCGCCAGCGUUCGUUCUGAGCCAGGAUCAAACUCU
rnacentral:rRNA from 1 species